UCUACGGGACGCAGCAGGCGCGAAAACUCUACAAUGCAGGCAACUGCGAUAGGGGGACAUCGAGUGGCACCCACCUUGGGUGCCUGUCCCACCGUCUAAAAAACGGUGGUUAGCAAGGGCCGGGUAAGACCGGUGCCAGCAGCCGCGGUAAUA
rnacentral:rRNA from 1 species